GUGCCCUCUUUGGCAGCAGAUAUACUAAAGUUGGGACAGUACAGUGAAGAUUAGCGUGGCCCCGGUGUGGGUAUGACACGCAAAUUCAUGAAGCGUUCCUAUUUUCA
ensembl:snRNA U6 U6 spliceosomal RNA